CCUUUUUAACAUUCUUUAUUUUUGAUUUAUUAAAGCGUGACACGUUGAGGUAUUACAGUUCAAUUUGUUUUAACAACGGUAAUAUAGUGACAGUUUACAUAACAUCAUAUAAGUAGUGACAACAAUUAACUAGAAGGUUAUAUUUGUCUUCAUAGCGUAAACAUGGCUUUAAAUGUUUAUUAAUAUGAGAUUAUGGCAUUAGACUUGGUUUUUUUUUGCCUGGCGUAAACAUAACGUUAAACGCUUGUUAGUAUGUGGUUGAGGUAAUGCACUUGCCCUAGUGGUGGUGUCUGAUCAGUAUGCGCUAUUAGUUUAUCAUGACUGAGGGUUUAGCUCGGUUACGAUAGAGCCUUUACCUUCGGAAUGAUCAGUUUCCUUUCCUUUUUCUUUGGGUUGGCAGUGAAUCUUUGUACACUGAAGAGUGGGGGUAAAGGAGGGUGUGUGUAGGGGUUGUGGUAUAUCGAGUAGGUUGGGUAGGAUUAGGGGUAUGGGGUACCAACUUGGUGGGUAUGUCAAGUCAGUGGGGUCAAACUCCCCUUUUUACCUGAGUUUACCACAAGCUCCUGGAGGAGCCUGCUUUUCAGCCUCCUGCCCAGACUAUGGACCCUGUGAAAUAUAAUAUAAAAGUCUCUGUUCGUGUAUUUGAGCUUUAUUGUUUGAGAACUGGACAGCAUCACAUACUGGAGACUUUUACAUUAUAUAAUCACAGGGAUCAUAAUCUGUGGGCAGUAGGCUGGCAAGCAGCUCCUCCAGGAACUCAUGGCAAACUCAGGUAAAAAGGGGAGUGUGAUGGACCGCCUGGCACUCCGACAGAGUGCCACCACCAAUCGAUGCUCCUAGUGCUCACCGAGGAAUUCCAGCACUCCACCAGACACCAUAAGCACUGCAGACCCCUCUACCAGCGAUGCAGAUGCGCCUGGGUCUCGCCAUCCUUCACCCACCCUGGACCCAAGACCAGGAUCCAGCUUCCAAGGGGGAAGAAAUCUCCUACUCCCAGAGAGUGUAAAAUGAACAGCUCUUAUAAGAGCUAGUGAUUAUAAUUCCUGGGUAGUAUAGUGAUAUAGCAAUUUCCAGGAUAGAUACAGCCGUCUCCCCCACACAUGAGAUGAGAUAGUUGAGGGUAAGCAGGAACAUAAUUUUAAUGCACGCACAGUGGCCUUUUAUGCAAGUUUCCCAACAAGGGUGACACCCAGAUGGACCUUGCUGGGCACAGAGACACAAAGUGAAUAAACCAAUAAAAACAGUCAGACAGACACGGAUGAGACACUCCCAUCAAAACAAUAGAAUCCCUCCUCUGUGCUUGGGAGAUAAUUGAAUCAGGGACUGUACUAAGCUGAUCCAAUUAUCUCCAAGCACAGAAAAACAUACUAUUUUAUGAAACCCAAAAAGUACCUUAAAAACACACAAAACCCCAUAAACGUUACUUUCCCUGAUAUCACCCAGAUUUUUGACCGACCUUGCACAUGGUCCUAUGCCCGAAACAGUUACAGGGAAAUCAGUGCCAACAGUUGAUCAAGUUCGGUAGUGUUUUACAGGUUUCCCUGUAGGGUGCAUAGUUUGUGGGCAGGAGGCUGGCAAGCAGGUCCCUCCACGUACAAGUGGCAAGGUAACUUUCGCCACAGGGAGUUUGUCACAGACAUGACAUAGCCUUGAUUUGUAAUUAUUUUAAAACAAUUAGCAUUUACUUUCUAAACAUUGUAUUCACGAAGCUGGGCAUAAUGCCAGAAGGACACAGCUUAAAACAAACUUUAAGAAAUCAAAUGCCCACAGCACACUAUUAAAUGAAAUAAGCGUUCUGGACACACAUGUAGAGGGUUAAGCAGACUUUAAUAGGAUUGUGGUAAUUGAUAUGUAUACGUGCAUGUUAAAUCUAAUAUUAUUAUUGGCAUUUACAUAGAGCUAAUAAUUACAAAUUGUUACAGAACAAUAGGUUGAUAAUGAUCCUGCUUGAAAGUGCUUUCAAUCUACAGCAAGUAAGGUAUAAAAACACAGUAAGGGCAGACUAGCGAAUAGCAACCAAGCAGCAGACUGGGAUGUAGCACAAUUGAAAAGUAAAAGUGGACUGUGGCCCUCUGGAAAGAGAGUAAAACAAAGUUUGAGUUUUGAGAGACUUAAUAUUUAUCUAUUACAUGGCUUUGGCUGCAAGACCAGAUGAUGCCGAUGCCGAAUCCGGAGUGAAACUUAUGAAUGCUGUUUUGGGCAUAUGCUGUAAAAGAGAGUCUGGGGUCAAAUAGAACAACAAUUAUAGGCGGAAAGGUAUGCAGCUAAAGCGAUAAAAAAACGAAAACAAUCAAUGGGAGAGAUACAAUAGGUGAAAGUUAUAAAAGGAAAAAUCAAUUUACCCCUUCAGGGGACCAGGGCUCUUUUAACACUUUUGUGGUGUUUGCAUACUGUUCCCAUACAAGUUAUAUAUUGUUUUUUUCAGUACAAAAGGGCUUUCUUUACAUACCAUUAAAAAAAAUUAAAUAAAACAAUAUAUUUUUUUUACUUUUGUUUGAAAGAUCUUUUACUUACCUACUAAAGCUAAUGAAAAAAACUGCUUAAUAGAUUUUAAAAAUUUGUCCUGAGUUUAAAAAAAUCCCAGUGUGUACGUCCUUUUUUUUUUUUUUUUUGUAAGUUAUAGGGCUAUAAGUACAAAUAGGAAAUUGCUGUUUCAAAAUAUAUAUAUUUGUAAAAUUUAUCAAUAGUGACCUUGUAACACUAUUAUCUGUCAUAAAACUCUGAAUCACACCCCACAUUUACAUUUUUUUUUUAAAGUAGACAACCCAGGGUAUUCCAUAUGGGGUAUGUCCAGUCUUUUUUUAGAAGCCACUUAGUCGCAAACACUGGCCAAAGUUAGCGUUCAUAUUUGUGUGUGAAAAAGGUAAAAAACUAAAUUGAAUGCUAAUUUUGGCCAGUGUUUGUGACUAAGUUGCUACUAAAAAAAGACUGGACAUACCCCAUUUGCAAUACCUUGGGUUGUCUUAUUUUGCAAAUGGUAUGCCAUCAUAGGGGUAAUUCUCAUUCCUGGGCUACUAUAUGCUCUCAAAGGCAAUGUAACCAACCUGGCAUUUUUCAACGUAGAAAUAUUUGACCCUUGUAUUUGACCCUGUAACUCUCAAAAAUGCUAUAAAACAUGUACAUGGGGGGUACUGUUAUACUUGGGAGACUUUGCUGAACACAAAUAUUAGUGUUUCAAAACUGUAAAAUGUAUCACAACAAUAUCAUCAGUAAAAGUGCUGUUUGUGUGUGAAAAAAAAAUCACUUUCACUGACAAGAUCAUCGCUGUGAUAGGUUUUACUUUUUUGAAUCGAUAAUAUGUGUUCAGCGAAGUCUCCCAAGUAAAACAGUACUCCCCCACGUACAGGUUUUAAGGUGUCAUAGAAAGUUACAGGGUAAAACAUAGUGCUAGCAAAUUAAAUUCUCUGGAAUUUCAGCCUGGGUUGUCAGGCAGGUCCCUCAAAUUGCAAUCAAUAAAAUUACUUAAUUAUGUAAAAAUAUUACAUAAAUACGCACGUAGAAUUUAAAUAUAUAUGCAUAUUUAUAGAUUUGCAGUCUACGUGUAUAUUAAAA